GCCAUCGGCCAUACCAUGCUGAAUACGCCGGUUCUCGUCCGAUCACCGAAGGAAGCUAAGCAGCAUCGGGCUCCGUCAGUACUUGGGAGGGUGACCACCUGGGAACACGGAGUGCUGAUGGCA
rnacentral:rRNA from 1 species